rnacentral:lncRNA from 1 species
UUACCUGCUAGGCUUGUGGAGUGGAGGAUAAUACACAGGCUUUCAAAAUUUCGUAUUCCAAAGCAAAAUCAGCAUAAUUUCAGCUCAGCUGCAGGUUUCCUGAGGAGAACUUUUGUGACAACCCAAAGCAAUGGGCCAUCUAAGAGGCAUGGGCAGCCCCAACAAGCACACAGCACACCUGUGUGGUCCCUGAAACAGGAGCGAGGAGCAGAGCAAGCAGGUCUGAAUGGAGAAGGCAGUUGUCUGCAUGGAGAGAAGCUUCUUUGCAGGUAAUUUGCAAUCCUGAAUGUUACCAGAGAUAAGAAGCAAGCAAACCAUGUGAACUGCAGAACUGAAAAACCAUCCAUGACACUGUACAGACAUGUCUAAGGGCAAGCGGAAUCUAAAAUUAAAGCAAAA